CCUACGGGGGGCAGCAGUGGGGAAUUUUCCACAAUGGGCGAAAGCCUGAUGGAGCAACGCCGCGUGUGUGAUGAAGGUCUUCGGAUCGUAAAGCACUUUCGACCGGGACGAAAACCCGUUGGCUAACAUCCAACGGACUGACGGUACCGGGAGAAGAAGCACCGGCUAACUCUGUGCCAGCAGCCGCGGUAAUACAGAGGGUGCAAGCGUUGUUCGGAAUUAUUGGGCGUAAAGCGCGUGUAGGCGGCUUGGCAAGUCAGAUGUGAAAGCCCUCG
rnacentral:rRNA from 1 species